rnacentral:lncRNA from 1 species
CAAGAAGGCCAAUAGAACGAGGGAAAUAUAUUGUGAAAGUGGUUAAGGAUGCUAUCGACAAGACGAAAGGCUUCUAUGGUCUUGAGGAAAUUCUUGAUCCAACUAUUGAACUGGGGACAGCACUGAGCGGUUUUGAGAAGUUCGUGGACCUUGCAAUGCAGUGUGUUGAAGAGUCAAGUUCUGACAGACCUACAAUGAAUUAUGUGGUGAAAGAAAUUGAAAACAUGUUGCAGUUGGCUGGUUCAAGCCCCAUUUUAUCAGCAUCAGCAUCCACUUCAUCUAGUUAUAAUAAUGCAACUAAGGGGAGUUCCCUGCAUCCUUACAAUAAUGAAUACUUUG